rnacentral:RNase_P_RNA from 1 species
ACCGCAGGCCAGGCAGUCGCGGGGGUGUAGUACAGCCCUCGAGGAAAGUCCGGACAUCGCAGGGCAGGGUGGUCGGUAACGCCGACCCGGGGAAACCCGCGGGAAAGUGCCACAGAAAACACACCGCCCCACCGCCGUGGUCUCGAAGGCAAGGCGCGGCGAGGCAAGGUUGAAAUGGUGCGGUAAGAGCGCACCGGCGCCGCGGCGACGCGGUGGCCAGGCAAACCCCACCCGAUGCAAGGCCAAGCAG